rnacentral:rRNA from 1 species
UACGGGGGGGGGCAAGCGUUGUUCGGAAUUACUGGGCGUAAAGGGCUCGUAGGCGGCCAACUAAGUCAGACGUGAAAUCCCUCGGCUUAACCGGGGAACUGCGUCUGAUACUGGAUGGCUUGAAUCCGGGAGAGGGAUGCGGAAUUCCAGGUGUAGCGGUGAAAUGCGUAGAUAUCUGGAGGAACACCGGUGGCGAAGGCGGCAUCCUGGACCAACACUGACACUGAGGAGCGAAAGCCAGGGGAGCAAACGGG